UUCCAGCCAAUAAAACAGGACAUUAGAACCACGUGGAGAAAGAGCGCUUCUUGUCUUUCGCUUUGUCUAUGUAAUAUCAGUGCGGGCCAGAGUCCUAAGCUAGCCGGAAUUGGACUUUACAGCCCGCAAACCCACGGAUAUUACAGUCACCAGGGCAGAAACCUCAGUUGCUAUUUUGGUCCUUGAUAAAGGAAUGGCUCAGCUGCAGAAGUGGAAUGAGACACAGGACAGACAGCAAAGCAUGUCUUCUCUGACUUGAAUAUGGUCAGAACUCAGUCCAGGCAUCCCAGCUGACAUCUUACCAAGCACUUUAUGUAUCUCCUUAUAUGUCCUGGUGUGGAAUUUAUCUUCCUCACAAAAGAAUGGUGCUGUGACUCCAAAUCUCCUCUUUGUCCAUCAUCAAAAACUGCAGACACCUUUUCCCAGUCCUAGCAUAAGUAAUGGAACCAAACUGCUUCAUAUGGUUUUAAUUUGAAUUUUUUUCCUCUGCAUUUUUCUUACUGAUAGUCAUGCAAGUUCUCUUCAGCUAACUUGGAAUUAUAAAAAAUGAGUAGGGGUUCAAAGUAUGCUUAUAAUUACAAGGAAUGUACUUUUUCCCAAAUUAUUGCCUAUCAUUAACUAAUCUUGUUUCUGAAUUAUUCCUGCAACAAAGACCAUCUCUGAAAAAUAAAAGGAUAGAAUCAGAAAAAACCAAAUAUGUAAAUCCAAAAUAUGAGCUAAGCCGAUAAGUCAUGUAACACAUUAGUACAUUGGAGAGAUUUGUAAUCAUCCAUAACUGUACUGCCAAAACCCAGCUACAUACUGGAGAGUGUAAAUCCCCUUUUGUAUAUCACUUAAUAUAUAGCUUUGUUUUGA